CCCGCCCCCAAUGGGAGGUCCAGCCUGCCCAGUGACAAACAUUAAACGGCCGCGGUACCCUAACCGUGCGAAGGUAGCGCAAUCACUUGUUCCCUAAAUAGGGACUAGUAUGAACGGCAUCACGAGGGUUAUGCUGUCUCCCCCCUUUAAUCAGUGAAACUGAUUUACCCGUGAAGAAGCGGGUAUAAACCCAUAAGACGAGAAGACCCCAUGGAGCUUCAAACCUAACAACCACCUAUUUCAACACACCACACUAAUUUAAUAGCCCUGAAUGUUGGUUUUCGGUUGGGGCGACCGCGGAGUAAAACCAAACCCCCGCAACGAAAGGAAACACCCCUAAUUUAAGAGCCACAGCUCAACCAAUCAACAAAUUGACGUUUAUUGACCCAAUUCUUUGAUCAACGAAC
rnacentral:rRNA from 1 species